AAAAUAUAAAAUGCAACUUAAGAGCAGUCCUUACAGAGAUUCAAAAAAUGCAGAUAUGUAUAUGUAAUAUAUGUACAGCAAAUGUGCCACAGUGCAGUUGUGCAAAAUUGGGCUGAUUAGUGCAGAACAAUGAUUUAGCUUUUAUUGUACAAUGAGAUUUCAUGUGGCAGGAAGGAUUUCUUG